rnacentral:rRNA from 1 species
UACAGAGGUCCCAAGCGUUGUUCGGAUUCACUGGGCGUAAAGGGUGCGUAGGUGGUGGGGUAAGUCCGAUGUGAAAGCUCCGAGCUCAACUCGGAAAUUGCAUUAGAAACUACCUUGCUAGAGGGUUGGAGGGGGGACUGGAAUUCUCGGUGUAGCAGUGAAAUGCGUAGAUAUCGAGAGGAACACCUGCGGCGAAGGCGGGUUGCUGGGCUGAUACUGACGCUGAGGCGCGAAAGCCAGGGGAGCGAACGGG